UUAAUUAUUAUUUAGUUAUAAACCAGGCACAAAUACAUGUAUUGGUCUACUUGGAUAAACAUUGUGUGUUUUUUGAGAGUCCUGUAUCUAUUAUAUUUGGCAUAGUGAGUAUUGUAUAAAUAUAUGAAUAGUUGUACAAAAAUUUAUGCAUGUAUUUUGUUGUAUAGUCUGCAGUAACGAAUAUUUUAGUCACUAUUUUUGGUUUUUACGCUUGUAAAUUUGUACGAAAUAAUGGGAUUUUUCAAAGUGCUGAGGCUUUGAAAAUGUCUAAUUCUUAUAUUUUUACGAUGGGUGUUGACAAAAAAAGGUGAUGUUUUUAGCUAUUUGUGGAAACAUGUUUUUUUCCACGACAUGGUAUUAUUUAUUCUAUUAAAUUAAUUCAACUAAUUACUGACUUUUUGUUCUAUGCAGUCUUAAGUCAGAGACCAAAAUUAGUUACUUAAAAGAAAAUUGCAUGACAAGGAAGAAAAGGCAAAGCACAUGCUACGACCAUGACCAACCAUUCACUAGAUUUUUUUUUUUUUUGGGGGGGGGGUUGGGGUGGGGUUCUCGAUCCACUUGACCUUUUGAAGUCAAAAGCCUCAUAAUACAUCCGGGGUACUAAUGCAUAAUUUCUGUGAGAAUUAAUGUUUAAUUGAGCUUUUUUUUAAUUGUAAAAUUAGAUUAUUAUAAAAUCUUCACCAAUUAUUUCAAUGCAGAUUUCUCAGAGGUGCUGAAGUUUAGUUUUUACACAAGUUAAUACCCUAUUUGUGUUUUAUAAGAUUUGAGUUGUAAAAAGACAAUAUUAUGUCACAUUGUUUUCAAAAAGGGGAAUCUUGUCAUGCUUGUAAAUUAUGAUGUCACACGAGGCAAUUUACAGGCAACCAGUUCCAGGCAAUCUCCAGUAAGAGAAUCUAUUCACGUUUGAAUGUUGACAACUACAUGUACUUUUAGGGAUCGUAAAAAAAAAAACAUCGUUUGGAAAAUCACUGUACACUUUGGUAGUUUCUCAAAACCAAUAUUAA